rnacentral:rRNA from 1 species
CAGUAGCGUAUAUUAAAGUUGUUGCAGUUAAAAAGCUCGUAGUUGGAUUUCUGGUUGAAGCGACCGGUCGGGCGUUGAUUCGUCUGCACUGGAGUCGGUUUUGGCCAUCCUCUAGGAAAGUGCGUCUGGUAUUAAGUUAUCGGGCGUAUGAUCCUGGUCUUUUACUGUGAAAAAAUUAGAGUGUUUAAAGCAGGCCUUCGCCUUGAAUACAUUAGCAUGGAAUAAUAAGAUAGGACUUUGGUCUAUUUUGUUGGUUUGCAGACCGAAGUAAUGAUUAAUAGGGAUAGUUGGGGGUAUUUAUAUUCCGAUGUCAGAGGUGAAAUUCUUAGAUUUUCGGAAGAUAAACUUAUGCGAAAGCAUUUACCAAGGAUGUUUUCAUUAA